AUUUUGGACAAUGGGGGAAACCCUGAUCCAGCCAUCCCGCGUGUGCGAUGAAGGCCUUCGGGUUGUAAAGCACUUUUGUCAGGGAAGAAAAGGUUCUGGCUAAUACCAGGAACUGAUGACGGUACCCGAAGAAUAAGCACCGGCUAACUACGUGCCAGCAGCCGCGGUAAUACGUAGGGUGCAAGCGUUAAUCGAAAUUAAUGGGCGUAAAGAGUGUGUAUGCGGGUCGGAAAGAAAGAUGUGAAAAACCAGGGCUCAAACAUGGAAAUGCAUUUUUAACAGCCGAGAUAGAGAAUGUCAGAGAGGGGGAGAAUUCCACGUGUAGAAGUGAAAUACGUGGAUAUGUGGAGGAAUACAGAUGGCGAGAGCAGCCCCCUGGGAGAAUACUGACGCUCAGACACGAAAGCGUGGGGAGCAAACAGG
rnacentral:rRNA from 1 species